rnacentral:rRNA from 1 species
UUUAAUUGAAGAGUUUGAUCAUGGCUCAGAUUGAACGCUGGCGGCAGGCCUAACACAUGCAAGUCGAGCGGAAACGGAGAUAGCUUGCUAUCAGACGUCGAGCGGCGGACGGGUGAGUAA